GAGCGCAAUAUUUAUUAUUCUCUAUAAACAGCUGACUACUCCUUACUAUUAAGUAAUAAUACCUGUAAAGUAACACUAACUGAAAAGCCAAAUUCUGAACUUCUAUAGAAUCAUCCAUUUUUCUGAAUAACAAAGAAUUAAAUUAGUGUUAAAUGUCGUAUUAAGUGAGUAACCAACAAUGCCAAAUGGCUGUGUUGCCCCUGGUUGUACAGUAGGUCAACCAAGGAAGAUAAAACCACCCCAUGUUACAAUUCACCGGUUUCCUAAUAAUCCCACUCGAAGACUUAAGUGGAUUGCUGCCAUCAAAAAAGUUCGAAACAAUUGGGAUUAUCCAGAAAGUUCAAAAACAAUAGUAGUUUUGUGCUCCCUUCAUUUCCAACCAGGGGAUUUCACUUAUGAAUCAAAGGAUUCCAAUCCGAGCAGAAAGAAAAUGAAAAUAAAUGAUGGAAAAGUGAAAAAACGUCGAUUAAAGGAAGAUGCUGUUCCUUCCAUUUAUUCAAACUUACCCUCAUCCAUGAAUAACUUGAAGAACUCCUUAUUGAAAGAAGGAUCAAUUUUUCUACCAAGUGGAUUUAAUGUUCUUCAAAUUAAUGAAGACAAAAUUGAUGUCCUCAAAUUUUGUGAGGGUGAGACUGGACUCCCGGUGGUUGAAAGAGGAAUCACUAUACAUGAAGAUCAGAGCUUUAAAGCUUUUCUUCACGGUUACAUAGUACCUGCUGAUCGUUUCAAGCACUUGGUUAAGAAUGAUGGAAUACUUACAGAGACUUUGCAAAUUCAAAAUAUUUUAUCCUUAUUAGACAGCAUUGAAACGGACGAAGACGAAUCUUCGAUUAAAGAGGCACUGUACAACUUACAAGAAAAAGUCGAAGAGGCCGUUCUUCCUGAAGAAAACAAGAUGAAAUUAGAGUUUGCAAUUGAACAAGGUUAUUUAGCUAUAUUUGGUAUAUAGCUAUCCUUGGACGUUAAAUAAAUUCUUACUUAGGGCAAGGAACACUGAAAUAAAUAUGGAACAAUAUCUUUAUUUGGCACAAAAAAGGGUUUCAUUUCAGUGGCUAAGGCCGACUCUGAGAGCAUAAUUAUGUUCAUUGUGAAUGUAUAAAGUAUCACUAGUCACUACUAAUGAAUUAUUGGUAGUGACUAGUGAUACAUUUUUUUCAAAUUUGCAUUCUUGAUAUGAAUCAAUAGCUCAUUUUUUUAAGUGACAAGCCAUAUAAAAUAUUUUUUAUAAUUGUAGAAUCUUGACUAAUGAAUACAUAGUUUUCAAUUAUGCAUCUGUCAUAGAAAUCCAAUAUGACAUAGUUGUUUUCAAUAAAGAACUAAGUUUUAAGUAUGUAUCUACACAAAAAGAACUGUUGAGGAUUUUGCAAAAAAUAAAAAUGUGGAAUUAUUUUGUUAGAUACAAACAUUAGGCUAUGCUUCUCUCUUGAUAAGCAAAGCUUGCAAAAAAUUUUGUACUCAUAAAUGUAUACAUAUUUGAGGAAUUCAAAUGCAAUAAGAAUAAAAGUUUGUAUUUGAAAAGAAAAUUAAUCUUACCAAAUAUGUAGUAGGUAUAUAAAUUGAUUUUUUGUGUUUCCAUUUUUUGUUGUCUUUCUAUUUAAUCGUUACAUUCCUUUAGUGAACUUUAGGUAAAGAAAAUUUUCUUUCUGAUUGAUUAUAUUAUUUAAUUUGUAAGGAAAUUUAAUUGAUUAACAUAUUGAUGUAAUGAUUUAUGAUUCACAAGUCAAAUAUUUCCAAACAACAAGUUUUAUCUAGUUUUAUAUCAAUUGAUUUAUUUCUUAAUGUGAAUUUAAAAUAAAAAUGGCUUUUAAAACAU
rnacentral:misc_RNA from 1 species